GGGGUGUAUAGCUCAGUUGGUAGAGCAUUGGGCUUUUAACCUAAUGGUCGCAGGUUCAAGUCCUAUUAUACCCAAACCUAACUUGCACUAUACUAUGAGUAAGGAUGUGUAGUAGCGCAAAGAGCGCUC
rnacentral:tRNA from 1 species